UCCGGCUUAACGCCGGCAGUCUCCUUAGAGUGCCUGCCACUACACUUCGAGCCCAGGUAAGGUUCUUCGCGUUGCAUCGAAUUAAACCACAUGCUCCACCGCUUGUGCGGACCCCCGCCAAUUCCUUUGAGUUUCAAUCUUGCGAUCGUACUUCCCAGGUGGAUCACUUAAUGCUUUAGCUCAGACACCAACAGUAUAUCGCUGAUGUCGAGUGAUCAUCGUUUAGGGCGUGGACUAC
rnacentral:misc_RNA from 1 species